rnacentral:sRNA from 1 species
AAGUUGUCGGCCUGCAACCUGCAGGCCGCAUAAUCGAAACCUGUAUUCCCCUUGACCACGGAUGUACUGGCACUGGGAAAAGCAUGUUUAUCUGGAAGGCCGGGCAUUGCCCGGCCUUUUUUCGUU